rnacentral:rRNA from 1 species
CGGAGGAUGCAAGCGUUAUCCGGAUUUAUUGGGUUUAAAGGGUGCGUAGGCUGUUGCGCAAGUCAGUGGUGAAAUGCCCGGGCUCAACCUGGGACGUGCCAUUGAUACUGCGCGGCUGGAAUACGGAUGCCGUGGGAGGAAUGAGUAGUGUAGCGGUGAAAUGCAUAGAUAUUACUCAGAACACCGAUUGCGAAGGCAUCUCACGAAUCCGUCAUUGACGCUGAGGCACGAAAGCGUGGGGAUCAAACAGGAUU